UUUCAAGUCCCGGAGAGAGCGGUUUAUUAAACAAUUAUGCAGACUACAGAGAAAAGACUUGCAAGGGAUCUUCAACAUGGUGCAAGUAAAUCUGGCCAGGCGUGGAUCUUCAUAGGACGGUUCAGGUGAUGCAGUUAGGCGUAGGUCUUCAUAAGGCAGGUAGUAUUGUCGGUUGUCGAAUCGUCUAUGUAAUUUUUCCUAUAUCAUAAUUGUAAGAUCGUAAUAAAUCAGCGUUAAAAAAAAAAAAAUCUUAAAAAUAUAUUUUAUUAUAAAAAGAUAAUUCCUAUAUAUAUUAUAAUAAGAUAAUUCUUAUUAUAUUGUGUUGUUAUCUUAUAUAUUGUAUUGUUAUCUUGAAAUAAUAUGUUUCUAUUAUAAAAAUCAAAUAUUUAGAUAUAAAUUUAUUUAUAAUUAAAUACUAAUAAAAAAAAAUAUUUUUAUAAAAAACAAUUCGUCAUACAUAAAUAAUUUGAUGUUUAACUUUUUUUAAAAAAUAUAAAUAAAAUUUUAUCAUGCUAAUUUUUGAAUUAAUAAAACAUAAACUAAUAAAUGUUCAUAAAACAAAACGUAUAUGGUAAAUCCACGAAACGUAGAAAUUAAUCUUAAUCUUCUGGGCGAUUCAGUAAAUAUUUCCAUUCUCACUUCUUGUUCAUCUUCUCCAGAUCUCAACGGAGAUACAAUGAGAGAGGAAUCAAAACCCGUUUGAAAAGAUAAUUUCAGAUAUGGGUCUCGCUUGUUUCCUUCUCCUCCAGCUGGGCGGAGAGAACCACUCCCCAACUACAAGGCGUGGCUUUUGGCGGAAACAGCUCAGGAAAAUAUGAACCCUGGCCCUCACUCUGUCCAUUCCUCGUUUGGAUUGAGUCUAUGCUCACAAACUAAUCUUCAGAAGAUGAAGGAGAAGAACCUUCAUUGUCUGCUACGUCUUCUUGCCAUAGUUUAAUAAGUGUAUGGAAUGAGUGGCAAUUGGCAAAGUAGCAUUCCAAGCCCGUUGAGAAUGUGUACAGCAGUACAGAUGGGCGUGCGGAUACUUUCGUUAACACUUUUCCCUUAUCACUCUGUCAUCCCCUAGCCUCAAUUUAGUAACCAUCAAAAUAUCAGUCAUUGCAUACUCAUACGGAUUGGUUCAUAGUGAAUGAGUCCUCUGAAUUGUUUUUCUGCACUAUACUCAUGAAGACCUGAUACUUUACAUUUUACGAUAUAAAACUCGUGGAUGUGUGAUAUGAGCCGACUGCGAUCUCGUAACCGGUGCCGGCCGUCUUUAAACGUUAAGAAGAGAAAGAGAAGUAGCUAAUCCAAUGGAGACAAGUGCGUAGACCGG
rnacentral:lncRNA from 1 species